rnacentral:rRNA from 1 species
AAUAUUGGACAAUGGCCGAGAGGCUGAUCCAGCCAUGCCGCGUGCGGGAAGACGGCCCUAUGGGUUGUAAACCGCUUUUGUUGGGGAGCAAUAAGGAUCACGUGUGGUCCGACGAGAGUACCCAGCGAAUAAGCAUCGGCUAACUCCGUGCCAGCAGCCGCGGUAAUACGGAGGAUGCAAGCGUUAUCCGGAUUUAUUGGGUUUAAAGGGUGCGUAGGCGGAUGCCUAAGCGUGAGGUGAAAUCCCCGGGCUCAACCUGGGAACUGCCUCGCGAACUGGGUGUCUGGAAUGCUCCUGCCGUGGGAGGAAUGUGUGGUGUAGCGGUGAAAUGCAUAGAGAUCACACAGAACACCGAUUGCGAAGGCAUCUCACGAAGGGGUGAUUGACGCUGAGGCACGAAAGCGUGGGGAUCAAACA